ensembl:lncRNA
CGACGAGCCCGGAACACCAAAUCACAAAGCGCUCUCAGUGUUUUCCACGACAGGGAAGGAGCUGCUAUCGUACUGUUAGCAUCACGUGUAGUGAUGUGAAGGCUGUUAAUGACGAAGAGCGAACAUGAACAGCGACCUGCUCCUCCUUUCUCUAUAACGGCUGAUCUUAUAUACUGUACGUGGGCAAUUUACGACUGAGAGAAUAACACGUUAGAUAGACUUGUCUUCAUUUCCGUACUGUUUGAAUUUACACUGGCAUGUUCAUGCAGGAUUGUGCUCGUGAAUCGAGGGAAAAUCGAGCGAUAUGCAAAACCUGAUAAAAAAAAAAAGUGGCGCACGCCACCUCAGGAAGCUGGCAUCUCGAGUUUGUCAUCUGAAAGUCUACACAAGAAAAUAAUUUCACGGCACGAGUCUUCUUUGAAGGCCCGUGGAAAUGUAGCCUAAUGUAAGCGCGUCCUUAGUUGUUCCUGGUCAGAUACUGUGCUCCGGAAAAAUGAAUACGGACCCAUGUCAUUCCACAUGAAUGAACACUUCCUGCAUCGCCCCCUCUGACCAAUCGCUUCUCUGCCUGGAGGUGCGUGCCGCCGCUAAUGAAGAGUAAUAACGUUGGGUGUAUUUUGACGGGAGGUGCCCAGAUCAGACGUACAAAGAAUGGCCUGAGCGUGCUCUGGGAUCCAUUUGUCUCAUGGUCCCCCGCCCUGAAUUCAGAAACGCUCUCCAAGAUUAUUUCAUCUGGCUAACCUGCAGGGAAAGGGCCCCAGCCCAGGGCUGAUAGGAGAUAAGGUGCUUCAUCGGAGUAAGAUCUGAGGGUCCUUCUGGUGGCCCUGAGAUGGACGGGAAAGCCAUGGUUCUCUGAGCUUCUACUGGUCCGGAGGUCUCUUUGGUCCCUUUACACAGAUUGAACCUCCUUUCCCAGAUCUGGCACCCCAACCCGGUUCUCCUCCAGCUCCAAGUCUGGCCACCGAUGAGUCCUUCCCUCAGGGACCAGACGUGACAGUAGAAUAGACCCUGCGAAAUGCUAGUGCUCCAUCUACUCACCUGCUUUAUGCUCUCAAAUAGCAUCUGUUUUCCUCUGAGCGCGCUGCUAGACACCAGGACCUGGGGAGCUGCUAGACACCAGGACCCGGGGAGCUGCUAGACACCAGGACCCAGGGAGCUGCUAGACACCAGGACCCGGGGAGCUGCUAGACACCAGGACCCAGGGAGCUGCUAGACACCAGGACCCGGGGAGCUGCUAGACAACAGGACCCAGGGAGCUGCUAGACACCAGGACCCGGGGAGCUGCUAGACACCAGGACCCAGGGAGCUGCUAGACACCAGGACCCGGGGAGCUGCUAGACACCAGGACCCAGGGAGCUGCUAGACACCAGGACCCGGGGAGCUGCUAGAUACCAGGACCCGGGGAGCUGCUAGACACCAGGACCUGGGGAGCUGCUAGACACCAAGACCUGGGGAGCCAUGUCUGGACCUCCAUUCGAGCCGUUGACUGAUGCUGACCUGAGGUCUCUCUUGACAUUUGCGGCUGCCUCGUGUACUUUUCUGUGCACUUUUGUUCUGUACAGUUGACGUGUGACCACGGCUCCAUAGAACCUUACCAUCUUGCUAGGCUGCACUAGAAGGAUUGUGGUUCCUUCAUUCCUUGCGACAGUGUUGGUCUCAGUUGUUAAUUGAUAAUAAUGCAUUGUAUUGUAUUACAUCACACCCCAUAAAACUCAUUCCACUGAUCCCUUGGCCCGAAAUACAUUCAAUCUGAU